GACGAACGCUGGCGGCGUGCCUAACACAUGCAAGUCGAACGGAGAUGUUUAUUUCGGUAGACAUCUUAGUGGCGCACGGGUGAGUAACGCGUGGAUAACCUGACCCGAAGAGGGGGAUAACACCUGGAAACAAGUGCUAAUACCGCAUAAGACCACGAACCGGCAUCGGAAAGGGGUCAAAGGAGGAAUCCGCUUUGGGAGGGGUUCGCGUCCCAUUAGGUAGUUGGUGAGGUAACGGCCCACCAAGCCGACGAUGGGUAGCCGAGCUGAGAGGCUGAUCGGCCACACUGGAACUGAGACACGGUCCAGACUCCUACGGGAGGCAGCAGUGGGGAAUAUUGGGCAAUGGGCGCAAGCCUGACCCAGCAACGCCGCGUGAGGGAAGAA
rnacentral:rRNA from 1 species